rnacentral:rRNA from 1 species
CUACGUGCCAGCAGCCGCGGUAAUACGUAGGGUGCGAGCGUUAAUCGGAAUUACUGGGCGUAAAGCGAGCGCAGACGGUUACUUAAGCAGGAUGUGAAAUCCCCGGGCUCAACCUGGGAACUGCGUUCUGAACUGGGUGACUAGAGUGUGUCAGAGGGAGGUAGAAUUCCACGUGUAGCAGUGAAAUGCGUAGAGAUGUGGAGGAAUACCGAUGGCGAAGGCAGCCUCCUGGGAUAACACUGACGUUCAUGCUCGAAAGCGUGGGUAGCAAACAGGAUUAGAUACCUUGGUAGUCCACGCCCUAAACGAUGUCAAUUAGCUGUUGGGCAACUUGAUUGCUUAGUAGCGUAGCUAACGCGUGAAAUUGACCGCCUGGGGAGUACGGUCGCAAGAUUAAAACUCAAAGGAAUUGACGGGGACCCGCACAAGCGGUGGAUGAUGUGGAUUAAUUCGAUGCAACGCGAAGAACCUUACCUGGUCUUGACAU